rnacentral:rRNA from 1 species
UACGGGGGGAGCAAGCGUUGUUCGGAUUUACUGGGCGUAAAGGGCGGGUAGGCGGCCACCGCAAGUCAGUUGUGAAAUCUCUGGGCUUAACCCAGAAAGGUCAACUGAUACUGCGGGGCUAGAGUCCGGAAGAGGCGAGUGGAAUUCCUGGUGUAGCGGUGAAAUGCGCAGAUAUCAGGAGGAACACCGAUGGCGAAGGCAGCUCGCUGGGACGGUACUGACGCUGAGACGCGAAAGCGUGGGGAGCGAACAGG